rnacentral:rRNA from 1 species
AUUGAACGCUGGCGGCAUGCUUUACACAUGCAAGUCGAACGGCAGCGCGGGGCAACCUGGCGGCGAGUGGCGCACGGGUGCGUAAUACAUCGGAACGUACCCAGAAGUGGGGGAUAACGUAGCGAAAGUUACGCUAAUACCGCAUACGUUCUACGGAAGAAAGUGGGGGACCUUCGGGCCUCAUGCUUUUGGAGCGGCCGAUGUCUGAUUAGCUAGUUGGUGAGGUAAAGGCUCACCAAGGCGACGAUCAGUAGCUGGUCUGAGAGGACGACCAGCCACACUGGGACUGAGACACGGCCCAGACUCCUACGGGAGGCAGCAGUGGGGAAUUUUGGACAAUGGGCGCAAGCCUGAUCCAGCAAUGCCGCGUGAGUGAAGAAGGCCUUCGGGUUGUAAAGCUCUUUUGUCAGGGAAGAAACGGCUGAGGAUAAUACCUUCGGCUAAUGACGGUACCUGAAGAAUAAGCACCGGCUAACUACGUG